GGACAGGACUCUGGAGAGACUCCAUCACGGAGCACCGAAGGGGCAAGACGUGGCAAGACGCGCGUUAAAACUCUCAGGUAAAAGGACAGGGAUUGCAGA
rfam:Paenibacillus dendritiformis C454 PDENDC1000044, whole genome shotgun sequence.